UGGGCAACCUGCCUCUAGCUCUGGGAUAACUCCGGGAAACCGGGGCUAAUACCGGAUACGACCUCGAGCGGCAUCUAUCGAGGUGGAAAGUUUUUCGGCUAGAGAUGGGCCCGCGGCCUAUCAGCUUGUUGGUGAGGUAACGGCCCACCAAGGCGACGACGGGUAGCCGGCCUGAGAGGGCGACCGGCCACACUGGGACUGAGACACGGCCCAGACUCCUACGGGAGGCA
rnacentral:rRNA from 1 species